CGUGCCCUACGGGGGGCAGCAGUAGGGAAUCUUCCACAAUGGGCGCAAGCCUGAUGGAGCAACACCGCGUGAGUGAAGAAAGGUUUCGGCUCGUAAAGCUCUGUUGUUGGAGAAGAAAGUGCGUGAGAGCAACUGUUCACGCAGUGACGGUAUCCAACCAGAAAGUCACGGCUAACUACGUGCCAACAGCCGCGGUAAUACGUAGGUGGCAAGCGUUAUCCGGCUUUAUUGGGCGUAAA
rnacentral:rRNA from 1 species